rnacentral:miRNA from 1 species
AAGACGGUACUUACCUCAGUAACA